CAGUAGCCGCGGUAACACGUAGGGUGCGAGCGUUAAUCGGAAUUACUGGGCGUAAAGUGUGCGUAGGUGGUUAUGUAAGUGAGAUGUGAAAUCCCCGGGCUCAACCUGGGAACUGCAUCUUAUACUGCGUAACUGGAGUGCAGUAGAGGGUAGUGGAAUUUCCGGUGUAGCGGUGAAAUGCGUAGAUAUGUGGAGGAAUACCGGUGGCAAGGGCAGCCCCCUGGGCCAAUACUGACGCUCAUGCACGAAAGCGUGGGGAGCAAACAGGAUUAGAUACCCCUGUAGUCCCUGUCUCUUAUAC
rnacentral:rRNA from 1 species